GAUGAACGCUGGCGGCGUGCCUAAUACAUGCAAGUCGAACGAAUCUUCUUCGGAAGAUGAGUGGCGAACGGGUGAGUAAUACAUAGGUAACCUGCCCCUGUGCGGGGGAUAACAGGAGGAAACUCCUGCUAAUACCGCAUAGCCAUGAGCACCGCAUGGAGCUCAUGCCAAAUAUCCUUUCGGGGAUAGCGCAGGGAUGGACCUAUGGCGCAUUAGCUGGUUGGCGGGCAACGGCCCACCAAGGCAACGAUGGGUAGCCGGCCUGAGAGGGCGGACGGCCACAUUGGGACUGAGACACGGCCCAGACUCCUACGGGAGGCAGCAGUAGGGAAUUUUCGGCAAUGGGGGAAACCCUGACCGAGCAACGCCGCGUGAGCGAAGAAGGCCUUCGGGUCGUAAAGCUCUGUUGUAAAGGAAGAACGGCGCAUACAGGAAAUGGUAUGCGAGUGACGGUACUUUACCAGAAAGCCACGGCUAACUACGUGCCAGCCGCCGCGGUAA
rnacentral:rRNA from 1 species